rnacentral:tRNA from 1 species
AAUAAAGAACCUUUUAGGGCCAUCUUGAUGCGAUGGACAUGUUUUACACCUUUAUUA